AUUGAACGCUGGCGGCAUGCUUUACACAUGCAAGUCGAACGGCAGCGCGGGCUUCGGCCUGGCGGCGAGUGGCGAACGGGUGAGUAAUGCAUCGGAACGUGCCCAGUAGUGGGGGAUAGCCCGGCGAAAGCCGGAUUAAUACCGCAUACGACCUGAGGGUGAAAGCGGGGGACCGAAAGGCCUCGCGCUAUUGGAGCGGCCGAUGUCGGAUUAGCUAGUUGGUGGGGUAAAGGCUUACCAAGGCGACGAUCCGUAGCUGGUCUGAGAGGACGACCAGCCACACUGGGACUGAGACACGGCCCAGACUCCUACGGGAGGCAGCAGUGGGGAAUGUUGGACAAUGGGGGCAACCCUGAUCCAGCCAUGCCGCGUGUGGGAAGAAGGCCUUCGGGUUGUAAACCGCUUUUGUUCGGGAAGAAAUCCUCUGGGCUAAUACCCCGGGGGGAUGACGGUACCGGAAGAAUAAGCACCGGCUAACUACGUG
rnacentral:rRNA from 1 species